UACAGGGGGGGCAAGCGUUGUUCGGAAUUACUGGGCGUAAAGGGUUCGUAGGUGGCCACUUAAGUCAGACGUGAAAUCCCUCAGCUUAACUGGGGAACUGCGUCUGAUACUGAGUGGCUUGAGUGCAGGAGAGGGAUGCGGAAUUCCAGGUGUAGCGGUGAAAUGCGCAGAUAUCAGGAAGAACACCCGUGGCGAAGGCGGUUCUCUGGGACGGUACUGACGCUGAGACGCGAAAGCGUGGGGAGCGAACAGG
rnacentral:rRNA from 1 species